UACGGGGGGGAGCAAGCGUUGUUCGGAUUUACUGGGCGUAAAGGGCGCGUAGGCGGUCGUGACAAGUCACUUGUGAAAUCUCCGGGCUUAACUCGGAACGGUCAAGUGAUACUGUCGGACUAGAGUACAGAAGGGGCAACUGGAAUUCUCGGUGUAGCGGUGAAAUGCGUAGAUAUCGGGAGGAACACCAGUGGCGAAGGCGACUACCUGGCCUGUUCUUGACGCUGAGGCGCGAAAGCUAGGGGAGCAAACGGG
rnacentral:rRNA from 1 species